rnacentral:rRNA from 1 species
CAGUCGCCGCGGUAAUACGAAUGGGGCUAGCGUUGUUCGGAAUUACUGGGCGUAAAGGGCGCGUAGGCGGCCAUUCAAGUUAGAUGUGAAAGCCCUGGGCUCAACCUGGGCAGGUAAUGUAAUACUGUUUGACUCGAGUAUGGGAGAGGGUAGUGGAAUUUCCGGUGUAGCGGUGAAAUGCGUAGAGAUCGGAAGGAACACCAGUGGCGAAGGCGGCUACCUGGCCUAAUACUGACACUGAGGCACGAAAGCGUAGGGAGCAAACAGGAUUAGAUACCCCAGUAGUCCCUGUCUCUUAUAC